CAGCAGCAGCCACGGUAAUACGUAGGUGGCAAGCGUUGUCCGGAAUUAUUGGGCGUAAAGGGAGCGUAGGCGGUUUGACAAGUCUUAUGUGAGAUCUUCGGGCUCAACCCGAAGUCUGCAUGAGAAACUGUUGAGCUUGAGUAUGGGAGAGGUGAGUGGAAUUUCCGGUGUAGCGGUGAAAUGCGUAGAUAUCGGAAGGAACACCUGUGGCGAAAGCGGCUCACUGGACCAUAACUGACGCUGAGGCACGAAAGCUAGGGGAACAAACAGGAUUAGAUACCCCAGUAGUCCCUGUCUCUUAUAC
rnacentral:rRNA from 1 species